rnacentral:lncRNA from 1 species
ACCCCCCCCCCCCCCCCCCCACCACCUUUUUUUAAGAAGAAGAAGUAGGGCUCUACGUUUACCUAAGCUACCCUGCUAUGACUGAAUGAUGUGGGUGUGUGCCUCUAAACAUCCAUAGUCAAUUCGAUAUUCAACGACGGCAUCAGGAGGACUUAACUAUAGGGGUGUUUGGUUAUUUAGAACCUCCUAAAAUUCUCGUAUCACAUCGAAUGUUUAGAUACUAAUUAGAAGUAUUAAAUAUAGAUUAUUACAAAAUCAAUUGUACAGAUGGAGGCUAAUUUGCAAGACGAAUCUAUUAAGCCUAAUUACUUCAUGAUUUGACAAUGUGAUGCUACAGUAAACAUGUGUUAAUGAUGGAUUAAUUAGGCUUAAUAGAUUGGUCUCGCGAAUUAGCCUCCAUCUGUAUAACUAGUUUUAUAAUUAGCUCAUAUUUAAUCCUUCUAAUUAGUCUUCAAAUAUUUGAUGUGACAUGAAUUUUAGUUUGUUAUAAAGAUAAAAAAAAAUCGAUAGUGAAAACCGUCCCCAAUGCUACCAUCGCUUCACUCACAUCACCUGUCUGGCUUGACUUGACCUCGGGGUUGGGCAUGAGCUCUCCACUUUCGCCAUGUUCGCUGCAUCUGCAGAGCGAAGCUGCUGCGGUAGUCAAGGUUGAGGCGUUGGGCAUCAAUGCUUCGCCUGAUGCAAACAAACAUGUCUGCUGGUUGCUCUCGCCCUGCGACGAAUUUCCUCGGACCCGCUAGCUGCCUCGUCUCGUCAGAUAAACCUCCUUAUACUAGUCGUCACUGCGAUUGCUACUUGAUCGGCUGAUUCGCCCCCCGCGUUUUCUUCCAUGAUCCUUUCUUAAUUCUUAAGCAACCCCUGUGCCCGCGCGCGCCGGUCGAAGGAAAAAAAAAACCCAGGCCACCGCAUGCACUAAGGAAUCAUGAUUGCUUAGCUUAAUCCAGUCGCUCAACCACUUUCCUAUUGUGCCUUCAUUGCCCCCCCCCCCCCCCCCCCCCCCCACGUCCACGUCGUCGUCGAUCGUAUUCAAUUCCAAGAACAAAAAAACGCCACGACUUGACUCGGCCAACUUGUGCGUACCACACCACAGCCAAAAAAUACAGUACAUGGAUCACAAGUCGGAACAGUGCACUUGCCCCCCGUUAAUCCCUUGGCCGAACUGAGCGUACACUACCAAGACAUGGAAUCCAAUAGGAUAUGCCACGGGGCGCCGCCGGAAACUGACCGCUUCCAAGCACGCCCCGCCCGCCCACCCACAGGUGGCCGCGGGCAGGCCAACCGACCCUGCCGCCGAGCCAACUCCUCCGCGCUAAGCAAUGGGCAAAGCCAAGGCAAGGGGCGCACGUUUCCUCCCGUGAUGGGGCACCGUUUUCCCGCCGUGGCGGCGCGCGCGGAUGUGGAUGGCUCAUCGACUCGCAUAUCGUGCCAUCGCGUCGUCACUCCAACCCGACCCGACCGGCGGCUAUAAAGGCCGCGCCGAUGCCCCGGUGCAACAGCUUCACACCGGCCGGAUAGGGAUCGAUCCCGGAUACGACACACUCGUAGUGAAGGGCCGGAGAUGGGGGCGGAUCAGUUCCUGAGCAUAUCGGAGGGCGGGCUCGGCGGGGAGGCGGUCUACUGCGCGGUCAUCCUGUGGCUGUCCGUGGUGUCGUGGAUCAUCUUCUCCUGGGUCGGCGGGGACGAGGACGGGAUGAGGAGGGGGAGGAGGCGCCGGGGCAGCCGCGGGAGCCCCGUGUUCGUCGGCGCCGCGGGGAUCUGCGACGGCACGGGGCCAGGGUGCAGCGGCGGCUACGGCAUCUGCGGAACCUGCAUCGACUAGUAGCCUAGCCGUGCCUCUACUAGUAGUUCCUGUGAACAUCAGCGCGCGACGAGCUUGUACAUGUCGUCGUCGAUCGAUGCUCAAGCCCUUGUGUUGUGUUGUGGAGUGGCGUCGAUCGAAUUGGCGUUGCUCUGGAUGCUGACAUGAUCAGAGAAAGAGGCUCCCCUUUGUGAAGGCAAUAAGAGGGAGGCCGGUCUGUUUCGAUCUUUGCUCGGGUUGCAGAAACUGAGUUCUUAGCUUCUCCUUUUGCGUUCCUCAAUCUGCUUGAUAGCUUGAUGCUCUGUAAAUUUCUCCGUGCUCCAUUUCUCUGCAGUUUAAGCUGCAAAAGCACCUACAUAUAUGAGAUAUAAUGUUGAGGUCCACUUUGCCUACUGCUUUUUAGGCGUGAUUUUUUUGGGGAAGCUCUGUGGACGAUAGUUGGGCAAACGUCGUCUUCAAGUGCACACUUUACGGGAGUUAGUUGGGAGUUGAGCAGCUUGCGUCGUCAAGCAAAGCCAAAGCUUAUCUCGCUUGCUCAACACUGGCCUCUGUUGGAGCGGGCUGCACAAGAAAGUGGCCCAACGUUACACUCACCUAAAUCUGAGUCCUCUCAACUUGAAUUUAGAUAUCUAUUUUUCCAUAUGCAAUACCAUCUAAUUUCUUCUAAAUUUUUGUAAGAGUAUCUCAAACUAGUUGGAACACGUCAUCUCCGUCCCUAAACUAGUUUCACUUCCACAUCCGGGUAUCCUUUAACUUGCUAAGUGUGUCACUUGAGGUCCAAAUUUUGAAAAUUAAUGUUUAACUGGCCACAAGGCAUGUUAGCAACCCACAUGGCAACGGCCCAUCUCUUUUUUGUCUCUCAUUUAUUCUCUCUCCCGCAUCUUCAAUGAAUUGAGCAACGGCCGUGCAGGGAGGAGCAACGCCUCCUGGAUGCCAAGUAAACAUAUCAACACUAAUUAGGGAGCUUUGGAUAUUAAGUGGCACGUUUAGCAAGUUUUCGGGAUCCAAAACAAUGAAUUAAUAGUUUAUGGAACUAAAUGAUACCCGUGAACAAGUUUAAGAACCACCGAUACACUUCAUUAUUUUAAUAAUGUGCACAAAGCAGCAAAUGUGUAGCUAUGUUGGAAGAGUGCAAGGUACGUGGAAUAAACACAAAUAUGAGAACAAAUUUUGCUACAAAUGCAAUGGCAAAAUUAGCAUUGAGUUUGUGGUCCACCUUCAAAGAUUACAUCUAUGAAAAGAAAACCGUUUCAAAAAAAAAUUGGUAAAACGGAUAAAGCAUUUAAGCUUACCACGAAGUAUUGCCUAGAUACAUGAAUUCUUACAAUAUAGAUUGAGACAUCUAAAACUGACUACAUGUGUGGCUGCUAAGUGCUAACACCUCUCCCUCUAUGGUUCUAUCUAUGGUCACACACAGACCUUCAAAACCCCACAACCAGCCCUUCUGGAAUUGAUAGGCGGAGCUACGAGCUAUGCGGUAAUCUUUAGUUUACCUUACAACCCUAUGGUAAUAUUACAAGUGAUGUUGAUCCACUUGAACAUUUCAAGUUUUGGCACUCUCUUGGGGCAUACAAGAGUGCCAUAUAAUUUAUUACUCGUAUAAUAUCCUUUUCAUCACUCCAGCAAUUAAUCAAAUCAUUGGAAGUGCUCACAUUAGGAUUUUCCUCGAAGACUACUUCCUACCUACUAGCCAUGGCUUCUUCUCCAAAAAUGGCAAUGGUGAAUUAAGAUCAAAGAUUAUGGUUGUGGUUUUGGUUCGAUAGUCCAUAAUCCUAUAAUUUGGUAGGUAGCAAGAGGCUAACAAUGGUGGCUUGUCCAAAAAUGGCAACUGCGGUUAUAAUUAUGCGGUUAUAAUUACGGUUUCAGUUCAUUGUACCAUCAUCUAACCCAAGAAUUCGGUAGGUUGCACAAAUCCAUGGUGUUUAGAUUGAUGAGUACAAUUUGGUUUCAUCACACUAAUACAUCACUUCCACUUGCAAGAUAUAUCUAGUGGAUUCUAAAGCAUACAUUAACUAGUGCAUUGCAGAUUCUAAAUAUUACCUUAAUAUGCCAUAACUAGGUGUUAGUUACCCAAACAAGCCUGAUCUCUGUAGUCAACUCAAUGUGAGCUUAUAUAAUCUCUUAUAUCAUUUCACAACAUAUGUAAGUUAUCUACUAUAAAUUUGAAAAUUUUGAUGUGGGAAUUUCACUUCAAAAAUGUAAACAAAAUCCUACAGUGUCAGAAUUACAAAAAUAUAACCGGUGAAUGACCCACGCCAAGUGAUACUAUGAGAGUGAGAUCUCCUUUUUGAGAUAGUAAGCCUAACAAUACUUGAUUUGAGAUCUUUUUCCCUCCUUCCUUUCACAUAUGCGGGACUAAGUGGUAUGGAUGGACAACUACUUCAUCUAGGUUGAUCCCAAAUAUGUCCAUUUAGAUUUUUGUAAGUAAAAUGUUUUAUAUUUUAAUCAUCAACAUGUCUGACACUUUAUAUAAAUUGAUAGAAUAAGAGUGACAUUACUACAAUAUAUGACUCUUUUCAUUUAAGUUAUACAUUUAUAAAAAUAGCUAACCAAACUUAGAAAUUUUUUAUUUAGGUAUACCUAGAUGAACUUAUAUUUGUGAUAGGACAAAGCACUAAAUAUGCUUUUGAGUAAAGUAGGACAAUGAGUCUAUAGGGGUGAUCAGCACAUUGGGAGCCCAUGGUUAUGAUUGAACACAAGCCAAUUGGAGUGUUACGUUUUGGCAUGGUCUCGAUGCAUACAAAGACAGGGGGUUGUGCAUGUCUAAACUCGCUUAGACUAACUUUAAUUCUAUAAUCUGAUUUUAAUCUAACAAUACCAUCUUAAGCACUUAAAUGGAUAUGAAUAUUCAACUCAAGUACAGCAUAUCCUCAUCUGGCUAUUGAGCGCAAGUUGCUCCCCACUUUGGCACACAAGUAAAUUGAUGUUAUUCGUGAAAUAAAGUUCAUUAACAAAACACUUGAAUUGCAACUAAAUUUGUAACAUGAGGUCAUCACACAUAAAUAUUAAAUUCUAGUAUCAGGCAGCUAUAUAAGUUCAGGAGUUUACUUAUUAGAUACAUAUGCUUUUAUGGGUACUAGUUAUUUAUUUCUAACUUGUUAUUUCUUCAUUUACGAGUUAAUUUGUCUCAUAAUAUAAAGUUAGAACUAUAUUUUUACUAUAUUUCAUAAUAUAUCAUGACUAAUGUCCAUUAAGUUCUAGAUGUCCAAAUUCACUUAUCUAUAAUCAUAUGGAGAAAGUUAAGGGGGUGUUUGGGAGCACUCCACUCCACAAAAAAUUGCUCCACUCCACCAACUCUGAAAAUUUCGUAGCCAAACGCGUCUAGCUCUAGCAACUCCGGCUCCAGGAAAAAGGUGGAGCAGGGGGUAGAUCCACGUUUUUUGGGGAGUACCUCGAGAGGUGCUCCAAAAACCCGUACAAACCUCCUCGUGGAGUUGGUGGGUAUUUACCCACCAUUGCCACUCGUUACACAGUACCGGUUCGCGAAACAAAAACUCCCGUCGCCCCGCCCCACCCGCGCGCCGGCCGCCGCCCCGUCCCACCCGCGCGCCGGCCGCCCGACGCGCCGCCCGCCACGACCGCGGGUUCACGCAGCUGGCGCGCAUGGGCGUCGGCCUCGUCGUGCUCACGCCGCCAUGCUCGCCGCCGGGACGGUCGAGGUCGAGCGCCGCCGCGUCAUCGCGCGCCACGGCAUGUACGACACCAACACGGGCGCCGACGGGGCGUACCUGCCCAUGUCCAUCUUCUGGCAGAUGCCGCAGUAUGUAGAAGAGAAGAGGAGAGGAGAGAGAGGAAGAAGAGAGGAGAAAAUAGAAGAGUAUGACAUGUGUGUCCGUUCACAAAGGGUAAAAUAGACCAUUCACAACAAGUGCUCAUGUUUUUGGAGCUGGAGCACUGCCAUCAGCCAAACACGUGCAACAGCUCCAUAUUUUUUUGAAGUUGGUGGAGUGGAGCUAGGAAAGUGUGGAGCUGGUGGAGUGGAGCUGAUUUUUUUGGAGUGGAGUGCUCCCAAACAGGCCCUAAUACUCGAGAUCGCUCCCUGAUGCACAUGCACCACAAUGAAUUAAUGACGAACUUAAUGCUGGCUCCUCUCGUCAUUUUUUCCCUUCUCUUUCUUUAUAUAUAUUUUUUCUUCCUUCCUUUCCUUUCCGCUUAUCUCUUCUUCCUUCCUCCACUUUUCUCUUCUUUCUUUCUUCAUUAUCCUAGCGACCGAGGUGCCCUCAAUUGCCUAUCUCAACGCAUCUCUGCACGCCUCCUUCUCUAUCCAACGACACUACCUCUAUCUAUUGCUUCCUUGCUAACAGGGAAGGGGGUGGGGGGGGGAGGGGGGCUGGCCCCCUAUGCUGCAGCUUUUCCAUAGGGGGGAAGGGGGGCUGGCCCCCUAUGCUGCAGCUUUUCCAUAGGAGACCCUCUUAGUUUCCUAUUAAUCACAUAUUAGGUUGCCACUUUUGUGACGUGUUGCUGCUGCAUUUCGUAGCCCAAAAGAGAAUUCGACUAUCCCAAGCCAAAGUAGAGGCACAACAUCCUUCUAUCAAGAUGGACGCUUCUGUUUUCUUUUCUUUUUUCGCGCCGCUAGCUGCUGCUCAAGUUCCUCUAAAAAAAGAUGGCUGCUGCUCAAGUUCCUCUAAAAAAAGAUGGUGCUCGAGUUAUCCGCUCUUCAGACUCCGUGCCACCGUCCGCUACCCACUGGUGCAGCCAUCCAGGAUGCAGCACUAGCCACCAGCUUGGCUGCGAAAUCACAAACUCUACGCUCCCACAAUCUUAAUCACCAAUUAUAACACAUGCUAUUUUAUUUAUCUUCGCAUGCUUAAUUCAAAGCUAGUUAACGAAUAACUAGCUUAAUUUCUUUUAUGCAUACACCAUCAUUUAUAUAUGAUCAUUAUCAGUAUCGCUCACUUAGCCUCCCCUAUGUUCAAAUCCUAGCUACACCCCUGCUCGCUAACGACCUCGACUACCAGCUCCGGCUAGCGAUGACCUCGCUACCUCACUAGCCACCCAACCCCGCCGCCUCCGUCCCGCUAUAUACUAACCUCUUCGAUUGCUCACCCCUGAUCCCGAACACGGAUUGUCAUCCGCUAUUAGCCGAUAGCACCUUCAUUAUCCCACUUUGCCGCCCUCGAUCCUCUACCGACAUCAUUUCUACCACCAUCAACGGCAAUCCAUCUAAACCCGCGCGGUUAUAUAGCCCUCGGUGAGAACCCAAACUUAGAACCCUAAUCCUAACUCUUUUUUUAAGCUGGUUCCGACGGCAAGACAACAACCACUCCCUCCUUACUAGCCGUGUGCUAUUUAAGGAUUUUUUAACACGUGUAAAUAAGUGAACUGUAAACGGAAAAAAGAGAAAAAAACAAUGCUCUUGUUAUUUCUCAGCUAGACACCGAGUACGAUUGUCUUAAGAGCAACUCCAACAGCUUUGCCAUCUCCCUCUCCAAGCCAAAAUUUAGCAAGUUUGCUGAAAAAUCACAAUCCAACAGAGUUGCUAUCCGGAUGGUCAAAUACUCUCCCACACUCUCCAAACGUGACAAGCGGGUUUGGCUUGCCAAAUGUGCAAAAUGGGGAGUGCGAAAUGGAGAGUCUGUAGUGCGAAAUGGAGAAACUGUUGGAGUGGAUGGAGAGCGUAGAUUUUUUAGAGAGGAAACUAGCUGUUGGUAUUUGAAGAAUAGAAAAUGGAUAGUUUAUCAGAGGAAGUAACUCAAUAUGUAAAGGAAUCUUUUUGCCAACUGAAAUAACAAAUCCAUCACCAAACCCACCUCAAAAAAAUCACCAGCUGCGUAGCGCAGCGUAGCUCCAUCUCCAUCCCGUUCCUCUUCCAGUCUUCCUCCGUCCCCAAUCCCCUCCUCCCCGUCUCCCCCACCGGCCACAACCCUAGCUUGCCCCCAAAUCCAUGGAUCCCACCAAAUCCAGCACCCCUCCGCCUCCCCCAGUCAUGGGCGCCCCCGUUGCCUACCCUCCAGCGGCUUACCCUCCCGCCGCGGCCGCCGGAGCCGCCGCCUACGCUCCGCAGCUCUACGCGCCGCCCGCCGCAGCCGCUGCCCAGCAGGCGGCCGCUGCGCAGCAGCAGCUGCAGAUGUUCUGGGCGGAGCAGUACCGCGAGAUCGAGGCCACCACGGACUUCAAGAACCACAACCUCCCGCUCGCCCGCAUCAAGAAGAUCAUGAAGGCCGACGAGGACGUCCGCAUGAUCGCCGCCGAGGCCCCCGUCGUGUUCGCGCGCGCCUGCGAGAUGUUCAUCCUCGAGCUCACCCACCGCGGCUGGGCGCACGCUGAGGAGAACAAGCGCCGCACGCUCCAGAAGUCCGACAUUGCUGCCGCCAUCGCCCGCACAGAGGUGUUCGACUUCCUCGUCGACAUCGUGCCGCGCGACGACGCCAAGGACGUUGACGCUGCUGCCGCCGCCGCUGCGGCGGCUGCGGCUGCCGGGAUCCCGCGCCCCGCCGCCGGCGUGCCUGCUACCGACCCGCUUGCCUACUACUAUGUCCCUCAGCAGUAAUGUAUCAUCAUCGCCUUCUUAAUGGUUUCCUAAGCGCAGAAUGUGUUGUUGUAUGCCUGUUGUAGUUGCUACUGCUGUUGUUGUUGCCGCGUAAUAAGACUUGUUGAUCAUCGAUGGGCGUCCCCCUGAGCUUAAGAAUUGAGCUGUUUUAUUCUAGAAUCCCGGGUAAGAUUGUUGUAAUGGGGGACGCCCUUUGAUUGGGUUGGUAGUGUAUGUCUAAGCCUAACUCAUCAGAUGCUGUAAUCCAACAAGUAUUAUGCGGGUGUCUGGUAAUUACUGUGCAAUUCCUGUUCUUCAUCUUUUGUGUGACACUCUGACCUGAAUGUGGCUGUGUCAUGAAGGUGAUGUAUUGUGUUUGUCGUAUGUUUAGUUAGCCAUUUGAUACUAACAAGCUUAAAUAUUUAGAUGAUUUUAGCUUGGAAGAGUGUUCUCCAAGUUUCGAUUUGUUGUUAUGUACCUAAUGGCAGUUUCGCAUGUCAUGGAAUUCUUUGAUAAACUGAAUGGGUGAAUGUAUUUGAUUGGUCAACGUGCUUCUUUCUUGUGUCUUUAUCCGGUUAAUUGAAUGUGCAUUAGUUCUUUUACCUUUUUCCUUUUUAGGUGAUUUCCUUUUGCUGACAUGUUUGUUUAAAGCUAGUCUUUCAAUGGAUACUAUAAGCUUUUAAUUUGCUUUCUCUGGAAAGCUGUUAUACUUAAGCAUCAUUUCUUUAUUCCUAUUGAUCAAAUAGUUAUGCAGUGAUGACUAGUGACCUGUUUAUUGGAGGGCCAUUACCUUAAACUGCGGAUUGUGUAUAUGCAGUCUUUAUGCAUUUCCUGUUAUGCACUUGUAGAAUAUAAGGGAUGCAAACUAUUGGAGCUUGCAGUGGAGAAUUGUACAGCUAUGCAUAAAGAAUAGUUUAUUGUUCCAAUGUUCGGUAUUUCAUUGUUCACACUCCAGAUCACUGGGGUGCAAGUGUGGCUCCCUGGCAGCUGAUUGGUCAAUUGGUCACCGAAUCAAACACAAGUAUUUGUAUAUGUUUUCUUCUUCCACCGAUUUAGUCCAACGUCACAGCUGCUCAUAUGGAGCCGUUGGUAUUGUCUACAUGCAUUGGUCAAUACACGUCAUGCAGAUUUGAUAUUUGUCGGGACUUCUUUUGUCCAAACAUUUGGUGAUAGUUGAGAUUUUCUUUCUGCUUUUCUUUCUGCCCCGCUGGAGCUUGGUGAUAUCGGACAUCUGAUCAUCGAAGUGUCUUAUGUUAAAUUGGCUCCACUUUCAUGCAGCCAUUUGUUUUUACUGGAAUCAUGCAGCUGCGAUAUGAUGUUUGGAAAUGUCUUCAGCUUCGCCUUUAUGAAAUUCCAUGUUAGCUUGUGCUUACCUUGGGAAUUGCAUGCGACUAGUUUUACUCUGCUCAUUUCCGUAUCAUUUAUCCGUACCAUCGUACGUGUUUGGUAUUAGUAGAAUUUUUGCUUGAGCUGUCUUGGUCUUUGGAUUGUUGCAUUCUGAAUCAAUUGGGACUCUUUCAUGCAUCUCAUCAUUUUGAAUCAUGAUGCUGCCACAUUAUGUUUGGAAAUGCCUUCAGCUUUGCCUUCAUCAAUGCCAUGUUAGCUUGUGCUUAUAGUGAGAGAAAAAUGCGUGUAACUAUGUUUAGUUUGCUCAUUUUUUGCAUCAGUUUGAAUUUCAACAUGUUUGGUACUAGGAUAAUUUUGGUUUGAGCUGGCUUGCUCUUUGGAUUAUUGGAUUCAGAACCAAUAGGAACUCUUACAAGCACUAAACACUUGUAUUUUUCAAAUUCAGAUGGUUAUAUAAUUGAGUGUGGUGUUGAUCUACUCCCUCCGUCCCCGUCCCAAAUUAUAGGUAGAUUAUAGGUUGUUUUGACUUUUUUAGAUGCAUAGAUAUUAUUAUGCAUCUAGACAUAUGGUAUAUUUAAGUGCAUAACAAAAUCUAUGAAUCUAAUAAAGCUAAAACGACCUAUAAUUUUGGAUGGAGGGAGUAACUAUUAUUGCCAACAUAGUUCCCUCUUUAUUAUACGGAGCGACUUGGUUGACUUGGUUUUAUUUGCGCUACUGCUGGAUAUGUAGUGUAUUGCUGGUGUCUUUAUGCUCAAUUGGUUGGCCAGAGUUUGUUGACAUACAAAUACUUGGAACCUGGGCAUGGGGCGUGCAAGUUUUUGCAAUGCAUAGUAUCUUAUGCGAAUGGUGAUGAUCUCACAGCCACAGGGGAUGCAGUCCCUGCCUUGGAGUGUGGACUGUAUGGUCUCCUUUAUUGCUGAGGUCAGUGUGAUGCAUGUGCGUAUGCAUGGUUAUAUUUUCCAGAAAUGUUAAUGCCAAGCGGGGGUAGCAGAAAGCGUAUUUGCUCCUGUAAUCAUGCUUGCAGUUGCAGUAACGAGUUGUAGCUCAACUCGUAGCCCAUCCAGGUCGAGGGCACAGGGCCUCGUCGCCCUCUCGCCCCUCCCCUGCUGCAGGCUGCAGCUCGGCGCGCUUGCCCAAUGCCGCGCAACGCAGGCGGCGGCGGGCACGCGGCCACCGGACGCCAGGCGAACGGAGUGGCUGGACACGUGGGUUUUUUUUUUCUUUUGAGAAAAAGAACACGUGGAGAUGAUGACUGGUGGCGGUCGCGAUGGGCCGUCCGCGCCCAUGAGCGCUGCUAGCCUGCUUUACAGAGAGCUCAAGUCCAUCGUGUGUGGCAAACUGGCAAUGCGUGUGGCCCAUAAUGUAGGCGCGGAGGCUUCGCCAACAUAUGUGGCCCAUUCGUCGAAAGCUAGUCUCUCUCUCUAGCGCAGCGUUAACGAACGUCACCAAAGAUUAUAUUCCGAUCAUCCCAGCUGACAGCUGCCGUGCGCCGUCAUCAGGCGAUUUGUCGGUGCCGUCCACCCGAUCGAUCGCCGUGUGCUUCAUUCCUUCUCUGAUCGACAGGGGCAGAGCACGGUGCAGCACUCCUCCCUCCAUAUCUCACGCACGCACAGAGCGCGCAUCGCAUCCAUCCGAGCAUGACACGAGCAUCCGUUUCGCGUCGCUCUCAUCCUCGGCCGCGAGCGCAAGAAUGCCCUCGCAGCCGCAGCAUCGUCCUCGCGCCGAGGUUUUAUUCUCCAGACAAGUAUCAGUUCCAUAUCGCUCUCGAUCAGCAUCUCCAGCCGUCUAUAAAUUUGGCGCGCUGCUGUUGUUCCCUCACGCAUCCAGACCAAGUCCUAGCUCAAGGGCGAGAGGUUUUGCUUGGCUCUCGCUUCUCGCUGCGGUUCCCAUGGCGUGCCUCCUCCUCGUUCUCGUCGUCGCCGCCGCGGUCCUCACGGUGACAAUGCAGCAGACACAGCUCUGAACUUAAACGCGCACAUGCACAUUAUUGGUUUCAGUUUAUUUCGUGGCAGAUUCGUGAGUUCAUUUUUUAUUGUUCCUUGAUCCUCAUCGAUCAGGCUCCACCCGGGAAGCUGACGCAUGCCGCUCGGACGCCGACGUCGCCGGAGGCCUUCUGGCGCGCCGCCCUCCCCGGCGAACCCAUGCCGGAGUCCAUCCGCGAGCUCCUGCGCCCUAGUGCUGGUGAUCACGAAAAAAUGUUCAUGGUUUUAUGACCGUGCGUCUUGUAAUGAUCAACAACGCCUCUCACGGUCUCACUAACACAAGUAACUAAAUAUAUGCACGCAGAGGUGGUCAAAGCUCCAAGCGCAGACGCUGACGUUCGCGACGACGACCCGCCGCCGCCCAUGAACUUCAACUACGACGACUACAGGGCCUCGCCCUCGCCUCGGAACCAGCUGGUCGUCGCUACCUUCGCCAAGGCACCGGAACACGUCGGCGCCCGGAACGCCGCCACGGGCGACGAUGACCGUGCUCGCGCGUCACCGCCGGCGGUGUUCUUCCUUGAGGACGCGGUGCGCGUCGGCGGGAGCCUGCCGUUCCCCCGCGGCCUCCUCCCGCGAGCGGCGUCCGGCGAUGACGAGGAGGCGCCGGCGGCUCGUCAGCCCCCGCUGGAGCUGUACACCGUCCGUGCCGUUCGGGCCGUCGAGGGGUCCAGCUUCGUGGUGUGCCGCGGCGAGGCCCGCCCCGACGGCGGCGGCGCCGUGUACGGGUGCCGUGGGGUCGGCCCGGCGAGGGCGUACGCGGUGGACGUUGCCGGAGAGCGCGGUGAUGCGGUGACCGCGACGGUCGUGUGCCACGGUGACGACGGCGCGUCCAAUGGUAACCUGGAGCACGCAGCGUCCCGUCUGCUCGGCGUCGGCGGCGGUGUGGGUGCGGCGGUCUGCUAUGCCGUGCCCGACGCGCAGAUACUCUUGGUGAAGAGCGAGAAGGUCCCCUCCUCAGCGUAAUACGUGUUGGUUUUACGAACUAGAACUUGUGAUGCAACACUGCUAGUACUUGUACGGUGUUGGGUUUUUUUCCUCAUUUUGAGGAAAAGUAUGUGUGUCAGUGUGCUUGUCGAUUUACUUUUUUGUUUAAUUUGGUCGAGCGUAUGUGCUCCGUUGAGUGAGGAAUGUCAAAAAUAAAGGGCCCAUCUACUUGCGAAGUUACGAAAUGCAUAUGCAGUUUUUAGAAAUAGAGCGCACAGAUAGAGCUCAGUCACAGUGAUGAUAGUAUCCUUGCAGUUUUUCAGCCCCUUGCAAUUAAAACCAACCGAUCAUGCAUGUAUAUGAACUAAAAAGAAUACAAAAGUAAAUCGAUAUCUGCGAAAGGGUAACGAUAUCACAAAAUCCGCCUUGGACUGGUCCUGCAAAAUCGUGCUUUUGAAGGAAGCUUUUUACAGAGUUCAACAGAAGUACAUUACGUUGUUGGUUGAAGAUGAAACCAUUCCAUUUCUUGUGUUGCCCAGAUGCUCUAGGCCGUGAGGAUCAUGAAUUCACGAUAUUUCCAUAAAUAACGGCUGUGAAAGCUGCCUGUCAAACGAAUCCGGAACAGCUUGAUAUAGUUGCAUGUUAGCAAUAGUAGCAAGUCAAAUGUAAACCAGUAAGGCUCCUGCACUGCUAUAAGAUGGGGCUUUGUUGGAAGAGAUGCUCUACAGCUCUAGGGUGUCACCCUCAUCAUCUCUGGCAUAGGAUGAAAUGUUGCGUUGGUUCACCAUGAUUUUUUUUAGAUCAGCUGAAACGAAAUGGUAGUAUGCAAUAGUGGGCCUGAAAAUAAAUUAGCCCGGAUGCGAACUAGACCGAAAUGUCUGAGAGUCCGGUCCAUCUCCGCUUGGGCCUCCGGCGACGACAGCCCACUGUGUUUUACUUAUUAUAACCGGGAAAAGGUGAGAUUGGUAAUUGCCAGGUCCCCUCUUUAAAAGGAAAUCUGAUGCAUCGGAAAGUAACAGGAUGCCUUUUAGAGCUGCAGACUUAUCACAGGUAGACUAGGUAGUACGUGGACCGUGGUACUGGUACGUACAUACAGGGCCUCGGAACUUGAUACUUGGAAGCGAUACAUACACGGACAGGCCACCCGUGGUGUCCAGGCGCACCUCGUAUAGCCGAAACCGGCCGCGCACAUUCCGUCGUGGUCGAUCGACCAGGACACGGUUGUGAACACCCGUCUUCAAUCUGUGACUCUCCGCUGGCACCUUGACACCCUUUGCCGGCCGGCCACGGGCGUGCAUGCCUGCAUUAAUUGACGACGACGACGGAGCUUUCGUUCGGCACGCAGCCACGCACGAUGGCGCGGUGCAGUACGUACCUACCCGGAGCCGAGCCCCCACAUGGCCGCGCGCGCACGAGAGAGCUGGAGGCUGGCCGCUGCUAAGCCUGAUGAAAAGAUAACGUGAGACCUGCAAUGCCAAGUCCAAUCAAGCGCUUCACUCUCCACGAUCCUACCUACCGGCCGGCCAGCGCCCAGAGCCCAGGGCGCGCUGAGCUCUGAACAUCACGAGACAGACGGCACCCGGCGGCCCGGCAAAAAGCCGUGCCGAAGCAGGCCCUGCUCCUGCAUGCAUGGCAUGGGCGCCGCAGCGAAAAGCACGCGCGCGCAGUGAGUGAGCCCCGAAAGCCGCUGCUCGCGGCCUCGUGCCGGCCGCUCGCGCGGCAGGUUCUUCGUAUACUUGUGUACGCAUGGCCAUUGCUGCGCCGCUUCGGGAUGGGCCCUGGCGCGCACCGUACAGGUACGGCUACGAUACGAUUAUACGAAGCUGCCAGGGAAGGAGGCAACCGUGGCGAGCAACGCCGCGACGGGAUGAGCACGUGUACGUACGUACGUACUGUGCGCGCUGCGGUUGCGAACACCGUAUCACUUUAUUGCAGCUACGUUUGGACGGAACGGAGAAUGGGGCCGUGAGACGCAUGCAUGCCUACCGGCUACUCCUUUUCGUAUGCUUGUUUUACUUUGCGGUUGCAUACGUGAGACGAUAGGCCAAUUUAAGACGUAGUACGUAGUACGGAGUGCAUCGUAUCAAAAUAUUUAGAGUUGUUGAUUUUUUUUAUCACCACUUUUGGCCAUUCAUCUUGUUAAAAAAAAUUGUAAAUAUUACUUAUUUUGGUAGUGGCUUACUGUACCAUCAUAGCUUUUUUAAAGUACAACUUAUUUUUUCUGCAAUAAAUUUUUGAAUAAGACGAAUGAUCAAACGUUGGAAAAACAAAUUUACAGCGAUAAAUAUUUUGAUACGAAGGAAGUAUCAAUUAUCAUCAUAUCGCACCCCGCAGUCUACUAUACUAUACUUCUUCUAAAUUGUAAAAAAAAAAAGCUCAGAUGGCUUUAAGGGAGUUCCCAAGCAAGUAAGUUUGUUAGCUCCAUGCCAACACAUGGGGUGGGGCUUACGGGCCUUAAUAGUGCUUGAAUUGAGAACUGGUCGGCAACCCCAUGCCUGCUAUACUAGUUGCCUGUUGCCACGACCCACAAGAUGCCGAGACCGAGUUUGACCUUUUUCACAAGUCUCGCGAGUCGCAACCGCCAGGCGCUGGAGAGAGCGUUCGUUCUGCACAGCCUUCCGAGCCAUCUUUCCGCAGCCAUGGCCCAUGAUGGGUGUCCUUGACUCCGGCGCGUGAAUCCACCGGCAAGACGACAAGCAGCCAUGGCAGCGCCUCAAUGACAGGCCUCCUCAGCAGGGGAGCAGGCUCGCUCAUCACGGUCCAGCAGAGGAAGGCCUCCUGCUCAUCUGUUUGUCCACGGACCUGAUACGAACGAAGCUCACCAACCAGGAGGCCAAGAGGGUUCCCACUCCCCAUGCCGCGCGGGUGCGCGAUGGCGAAGGCGAUGCGAGCGAGGGCACUGGCAACUAGGGCACUGGGCAGGGCUGGGGCGGCCGGCAAGUGCAGCCCGCCAGCACGUGCCGCUCUGCGCUCGUACCCAAGGAGUCACAUGCGCCUCUGAUGCCCCCAAGUCUCGCAUCGGUUUUACUGCUGCACAUUUUCGAUGCGAGGACACGAGCAGGUAGCCAGGUACGUGAGAUCUGAGGACCGUAAAAUAGAAUAGUCCGGCGCGUGCACUGUGCGGUCACGAGGCCACAACGCGCCGUAACGCGACAAAGAUGACCCCUGUUACAGCGCCAGUCCAAGCCCUGACGACCCUAAUUAAUCCCCCACCCUACCGCUGAUCUCAGCCUAAUACUAACAUUACCCUCGGCAGCCGCGAGUUUGACUCGAACGGUAGGCGCGCCCAGCCCACGGCUCACGUCGUCGUCCUCGGAAAGCACCGGCGGCACAGUCCCCCGCUCCGUCGCACGUCAGCUAGCAUGCUAUAGUGCCUAGCGCCAGCAUGGUCACCGCCCGACGCGUCUCUUCCCCGACGACGAGACGAAGCGGCAGGCGGUGUGCCGCUGCCUGUCGAGUGUCGUCUCGCUGCUCACGCUCUCGCAUGUUUUUUUUUUUUUUUGAAAACUCACGCUCUCGCAUGCUGAUUCUUCACCGCCAUAUUUUUUUUAUUAGCAUCUUGUGAUUUUGAUUAAUAGUUUAUAAGGUUGCACGGGUAGAUGGUUUCCACUUAAAUACGUACCCGAGUGUAAUCAGUUGGUUCUGCCGAUCGAGAGACAAGCUCUUCCACUCGGUCUCCGAUUCCAUCUUAAAAUAGAGAUAGAAACCGCAAACAAAACGUUGCUAAUCGAGCAGCUUUAAUUUGUUCUUAAGGCCUGGUUUAGUUGCAUUUGCUUAUUUUUAAGCAAGUGUCACAUCAAUGUUUAGAUACUAAUUAGGAGUAUUAAACGUAGACUAUUUAUAAAAUCCAUUACAUAAGUGGAGGCUAAACGGCGAGACGAAUCUAUUAAGCCUAAUUAGUCCAUGAUUUGACAAUGUGUUGCUACAGUAAACAUUUGCUAAUGAUGGAUUAAUUAGGCUUAAUAGGUUCGUCUCGCUGUUUAGCCUCCACUUAUGUAAUGGAUUUUGUAAAUAACCUACGUUUAAUACUUUUAAUUAAUAUCUAAACAUUGAUGUGACACUUGCUUAAAAAUAAGCAAAGGAACCAAACGCCCCUAAGCCCCCUACGAUACCAGUAGCAGUACAACGUUGUCUGAUGCAGCGAUGCUCUUCGAGUCUUUUCAUCCUUCAGCUCCAUAUAGACAAUUCUGACACCGGAGUGGGACGGCGUGCCGUGCCGUCGCCCGUGAUCGAGCAAGCGUCGGUUUCAGUUCAUGCGUGCGAGAACGCGAGGCUCUUGAGAGGACGGAUCGACCGGUGCGCCACCGUCGCAAGCAAGCGAGGCAUUUUUCUAGCGCGAGCUCCGACGUGACGCCGAAGAAGAGGCCCCACCUCGUACACGUACGCCCCUGCGUGUGCACACGAGCCACCGCGGCGCCGUGUACGCACGCGCCGCAUGCACGCCGCCCACGUAACAGUGGGGGUACAUAUAAACAAGUGGUGGCCUUGUGAUCGGCGGCCGCUGCCCUUUCACCCUCGCAGUCUCCGGAGAGAUUUUAGAGAGGCCGGAGCCGGAUCGCCGAGCCGCGGCGGCGACCUGGAGGUAGCGAGCAGACGGCACGGCAGCUAGGGAGGUAGGUGCGCCACCAGUUGCUAACCUACUAUCAGGGUCUCGGGGAGUGGAUCCAGAAAUGAGAAUUUUUUGGUGUUUGGGUUCUGCAUUUGGUUCUACGGAUAUGUGGGACGCUGGUACUGGAACAAAUAGUUGGGCUGUUUCUUUCAUCAGUUCUCGUUUCUUAUAUUUCCUUUGGGAGUUCCUAGUUUGAUGCAUAAAUGUAGAGCCAUCUGCUGUUUCUUUGGAUGAGAGUUCACAGCUUCUUUCUAGCAGAUGCAAGUCUCUCUUUAGCAAGUUUGAGCAGGAAUUUGUUCUUUUCCUCUACAUCCUCCAGCUUUCAAAAGAUGCCUUUUCUGCAGUUCUUGCCGGUUGGCACCCUUUAAAAUAGGGAAGAAAUCCUACAUUCCUCUCCUACAUUCAUUGAAGAAUCAAGACUGGCCAUUUGAUCUCGACUCUUGAGAGCUCGGGGUGCUGCGCGCAAUCUCAAAUUGGACGCGGAAUCACAAUGUCAGGUAACAACGCGAUUCGUCUCAGUAAAGCUGGCAUCUUUCCUGCGUUUCCUGGCUGAAGCAGUGGAAGUGACGCGGCGCUCUGCGCUCUGCAGUGAGCCAUGCCGACGAGCACGAGAUAUCGCUGUGCGACCCCAACUCCGAGGACGACCGGCGCCGGCGGAAGAUCGGAUCGCUGCCGCGGAAGGCCAUCCACGCGCUCCGGAAGAAGCGGGGCAGGCGGCGCGUCACCGACUUCCGCUUCCCCGCCGCCAUCUCCAUCGAGGACGUCCGCGACGCCGAGGAGGAGCGCGCCGUCGCCGCGUUCCGCGACCGCCUAGCCGCGCACGGCCUCCUCCCCUACAAGCACGAUGACUACCACAUGAUGCUGAGGUUCGAUUAAAGAGGGGGGAAACCCUCAUUUUAGCAAUUCCUCAUCUGCCAUUAGUAAGUUCGUCUUUGUUUGUUGUCAUGAUCAAUGCAGGUUUCUGAAGGCCAGGAAGUUCGAUUCCGAGAAGGCAACGCAAAUGUGGGCAGAGAUGCUGAGAUGGAGGAAAGAAUUUGGAGCUGACACAAUCUUGGAGGUGACCAGAGACUUCAGAGUCACAAUUCCACUUCACAAGUUGCCAAACCCCUUUGAUUUUUGGUUUGUUCGUGAUGGAUAAUUGGGAUAAAUACUGUCAGGACUUUGAAUUCAACGAGCUCGAUGACGUUCUCCGGUACUACCCUCAGGGCUACCACGGCGUCGAUCGGGAAGGCCGGCCAGUGUACAUCGAGAGGCUCGGCAAGGUUGAUCCUAACAAGCUCAUGCAGAUCACCUCGGUGGACCGGUACAUCAAGUACCAUGUGCAGGAGUUCGAGAGGGCAUUCAGGGAGAAGUUCCCUGCCUGCACAUUAGCAGCCAAGAGACACAUUGAUUCCACUACUACCAUAUUGGAUGUCCAUGGUGUGGUAUGCUAAUGGCGCAGUGACUGAGCCGCAACAUUCAGUUUUCAUAUGUCUAUGUUGUCAGUACUGUCAGAUUUGUCAUCGAUUCAGUUUCUUCCUGCUGUUCCAGGGGUUUAAGAAUUUCUCAAAAACUGCAAGGGAGCUUGUUCAACGAAUGCAGAGAAUAGACAGUGACUACUAUCCUGAGGUAUAUUUGCCUUUCAAUGUAUUUGCUGUGGCAUAUUGUUUUUUGGUUGAGCAGGCUUUCUAAGUGAAGAUAAUUUGCAGACACUACAUCAGAUGUAUGUUGUGAAUGCUGGCAGUGGAUUCAAGCUGAUCUGGAAUAGUGUUAAAGGAUUUCUUGACCCAAAAACUUCUUCCAAGAUUCAUGUAAGCUCCAUAACAUUCAAGGUGAUUCAUGUUUCAUGACUAUGCAUGCUACAGAAAAGGAAUUUAGUUACUAUUCAUCUGUUCAGGUUCUUGGUUCAAACUACCAGAGCAGGCUAAUUGAAGUUAUUGACUCAAGGUUGGUGCCACCAUAUUGUGUCUAGCAAUAUUUGCGUUUAAAUUCAUAAGACUGCAUAGUUGCCCUACCACGUUUUGAAAAUCUUUUUGUUUUUGCAGUGAAUUGCCAGAGUUUCUUGGUGGUUCAUGCACAUGUAGUGACAAGGGUGGUUGCCUUGGAUCUAACAAAGGGCCAUGGAAUGAUCCUGCCAUUUUGAAGGUACUACCACUAAAUUGUAAACCAUGACUUAUAUAGGUUCCUGCUUUUUCAAUACAUUGUUGGGCAUGCUCAACAUAUGAAAUGUUUUGGGGACAAUAUUUUCGUGCGGCGGGAAUGAUGCUUUGUUUCAAAUUUCAAAUCCUCACGACGAAAUAGUUUGGUCGUCCCAAGACUUACAAAAUAUGAACUUCUCAUUUGUAGCUGAUACACAGUAUGGAAGGCGGUGGUAGUAUGAGAGAAACCAAGCAAAUUUCUGAUGGGUACGAAAGAAGUGGCUCUUCCCUAAGGGCAGAAAACCUGAAGGCAAGGUUCUGAAAUUCCAGUUUCUUAAACCAUUAUGACCUUUAAAGAGCUUACUACCAUCAAGUUCACGAUGACACUGAUGUUAAGCAUAUUAUUUCCUCUGGUAGCAGGGCAUGCUCAGUGACGUAUCAAAUGCUGAAUCUGAGUCAGAUGUUGAUGAUAUUGGUUUAUCAGUUUCUCAGAAGAUUACCGACCACAGUUUGCUUACCCCAGUUCGCGAAGAAGUAUGAGUCUUGCUAAUUUAUGGGAUCAUUGUUUACCUAGCCAAAAUAAGCUUUGUCUUAUUUGUCCCCGUUGCUAAUCAACGGUACCUUCUGUAAGCUGAUUUUGGUAUCAAAUGUUUUUCUUAGGUUAAGGGAUCAGAUUCUUCAGCCUCUUGUAGUUCUGAUGGUAAGCAUCUCCUAGAUAUGAAUCCUGGCUCUCCUCAGGGCACCCAGCAAGUGGAGAGGGUGUCAAUUCAAUCGAUCUGUCAGAAACAUUUUUCCACCUUUGGAUGGAUACAUUGCUUAGGUAUCUUUAUCUCUUGUUUUCUACUUUGUGAUAUAAGUUUUGUGCCAUCCAAAAUACAAUUGCUUGUCAAUAUUGUUUCAGCUUUUCUCUUCACCUUUAGAGCAGUAAAGACUGUCCGUUUGUUUUAAACAAAUGUUUCUCAGUAUAAUUCUUAUCUGAAUUUGUCAUUUCUGCCUACAUCCUGUUCAUACCAUCGCUUUAUUCGCUGUUGAUUUCUAACUUUGUUUGCAAAUUAUUGUUCCUCUCAUAACUAAUUUCAGGGAACAUUGCUCUUAUUCUUCAUGGUACAUCUGCUGUAAGGACUUUGGAAGAUCUUGCUAGAGGACUGGCCACAGUCUUGAUCAGGAUAUCAUCCUUCUUCCACUUUUUCGUCUGUAGACAAGAAAGGAUGCUAGAAAAUGUCCAUUCUUGUGCUGACGCAGAGCAAGCAAAGCCUCAACUUGUAAGAGAAGAGGACAUGAGUGCUUCUUUACAACGCCUUGAAAAGCUCGAGUCCCUGUGCAAUCAUCUAAUGAGCAAACCUCCAGAUAUGCCAAAGGAUAAAGAACUUGUACUGUUUCAGGCUUUCGAUCGGAUAAAAUCCCUUGAAGCUGAUCUGGAGAGGACUAAAACAGUAAGUUGUUCCCCUGCUAGUUAUUCUGCAGAAUUAUAGGAUAUGAAUGGCAUAAAUAUUAGAUGAGUCAAAAAUCCAUUCCCAGCCAAAACUUCACUGGCAUAGCAAUCCCCAUUGCUUUUCCUUUGUUAAUCUUCUAGUUUUCUUUCUGAUCCCGCACAUAGUGUUGGCAAUGAUGUCUUUAUUGGUACAUUAGUGUAUGAUUGAUAGGUCAUGCAGCGCAUUUGAAAUUCAUGUGCUUCAGAAGAACGGACAUUUUCAGCUUGCUCCAUUAGCAAGAAAUUUACCAUCCCUGACAGGCCCUCAACUUGUUAUGCUUUUGCUUCCUUACUUCUAGUGCCUUUUCAGCUUUCUCAACUGAUCCUACCAUGUGUUCGUUUACCUGAACUUGCGUUACAGUCACCUUGUGCCUGCAGAGAGAUUUUAUUGAACUCAUCAGGCCGCAUACCGUGGCUGAGAUUUCUCUCAUCGGACAUAGAUGCAGUUACUGCUCUAACUCCUGCUUUGUAUCUCAUCAGGCGUUGGAGGCUGCCGUGGCAAAGCAAAUGGAAUUGGAGGACAGUGUGGAAGCUCUGCAGCACCGGUCGGCUAGUGUUGUUAGGGUAAUUCACUGAUGAACUUAGAUCCUAAUUUCUUUUAACUUUGUUGGUGCAACUUGCUUGAUGAAACUGAACAUACCAUUCUGAUUACUUGCGCAGAGGAGAUUGUGCUGUUCAUAAAAGUAGGAUCAUCUUUACGCCGUAAGCUGUCUGGAUUAACUGACGAACCUGAAGCUGCCGGCGCCAAUUUUUGACUCAGUUCUUCUCAACCCUGUGCGUGAAAGGUGACCCCCGCCAUGUAGCUGGCUGGACGCACAUGAGAUCAAUCAGCUUCUGUAGUUGACUAGUUGCUAGCACUAGCCUCAUUUUGUUGCUACACUAUGAUCUCCAUGGGGUGUAAGAAUGAGCCGAAUGACAGAGCUUUUGCCGUGCUACUACCUUCUCUGUAAAUGCAGUGCAGCAGUUGACACCAUUGGAGUUACAAUGAACAAAUGAAGCAAUAGUCUCUUUUUUAGCAUUAGUUCGUUCUGUAUAAUUGGAUAUCUAUUUCAACAGCAGCAAUCUGUUGAUUUGUCUAGAGCUAAUUCGCUCUGAAUCUAGCAUUUUUUGUCCUUUUAACUCCUCCAAGUAGAGUCUGAAUGGAGUCUAUGUAAAAUGCUUCAAUGAAUUAUUGCAGCACUAGUGAGAUGUUUGCUCUAAUUAAUUUAUACUGUUUUUAUUAAUGCAGCAGAAGAGGCUACCCGUCAAUCCGUCAUACAGAUUGAGUCUGAAGAAGCACGGCUGCUGCUGGCGAUGGAAAAAAGAUUCAGGCUUCGCUUUGUGACUUCCAAGUUUCAGUUCAUGGCAAGCAGUCUAGACUACUGUCACACCAACAUAAUCUUUCUUUUUUUGGCAGAUCUAUAUUAUAGACGUGUAAUCUUCCAAUGCCAUGUAAUCUUGCCACUGUAAUCUACUGGCAAUAGAUUGAAAAUUUGAGAUGGCGUUCUUUCUUUGUUCAUGAAGUAGUUGCUACUGUGGCAGCAAGUGCACUGGUAGCACGCGGACAAGCGCUUGCAGGUUACUAUUCAGCGGCGCUCGAGUACUGCAUGCAGCGGCGGCAGUAAUAACAGCGAUCAGCUUUUUGGGUAAUAACAACAAUUGGGUCAACUGGUUUCGUCAUCGUAUUGGGUCAGUGCAACCCAAAACCUAUAAAUAGUCUUGACGGGUAGUUGGGUCAGUCACUGGUUGACCCAAUACCAACCCACUUGCAUCGUUAGACACAGCUGUUGGCUGUUGCCGUGCUACCUUCUAUGUUGACGCCAAUGGACACAGAAGCUUCUUCGCGAACGUUUCUGACCGUCCAAACCACUGUCUAUUUUUGAAACCUUGCAUGCCCAUUUGGAGCGGACACGGCCCGCGCGCGCCUCCGCAUCUUCCUCCCUCCGCCUCCCUGCACCCCAGCGCGUCCGUGUCGGUUAACCCCCUCCUCGCGCCCUCCGGGCCCAUCGCCACACCUUCCUCCGCUUCUCCCUCCCUUGCUUUCUCUUCCACGGACGGGCACGCCGGAGGAGGAGGAGAAGGGCCGUCGAUCCAAUCGGGAGGAGGCGUGGCCAGAUCGAGAUGGGUCUCCGUAGGGGCGUCGCGCUGCGCGCGGCCGUGCUCGCCGCCGUCCUCGGCUUCGCGGCCGCCGGGUUCAUCUCGAGUCAGUCGCAUUCCCGUUACGGCGGCGCCGCCGAUCUGGUCUUGGGUUCGUGACUGAUCUAUACUAACAAUGCCCCCCGGCGUCUCGCCGUGGAUGCAGGUGACGCGCUGCUGGAGCACGGGCGCGACGCCACCGGCCGGAACCUGCUGCAGGCAAAGAAAGGUGAGAGGGGACAUGCAUUGCGUCUCUCCGGCGGCUCUGUUCUCGAUCCGUGCCGGCCGGCCGUCUGACCUGGCUUCUGCUGCGAAUGGUUGCUCCCCGAUUGCAGAUUGCCCGGUGAGCUUCGAGGGCGCCAACUACACGAUCAUCACGAGCCGGUGCAAGGGCCCGCUGUACCAGCCGGCGCUGUGCUGCGGGGCGCUCAAGGACUUCGCGUGCCCCUACUCCACCUACAUCAACGACGUCACCACCACCUGCGCCGCCACCAUGUUCAGCUACAUCAACCUCUACGGCAAGUACCCGCCGGGCCUCUUCGCCAACACCUGCCACGAGGGCGACAAGGGCCUGUCGUGCCCCGAGGACACCCCGCAGGUGCAGCCCGGCCAGAAGCCCUCCGGUGCGGCGGCCGCCGUCGCCGGCGCCGCGCCGGCGGCGGCUGCAGCCCUGGCGGCCGCGCUGGCCGUGUCGUUGUUGGUGUCCUGCUGAGACCCAGGGUGGCGGCUGUGGGCAUCAGGGCAGGGAGCCUGUGACCGUGUGUAACCGACCGUGUUCCUGACCGCUUGCUGGUGCAGCAUGAAUGGUUUUGCAGUUUAUAUGCCUGCAUGAUGUGUACUUGAAUUCUGAAAAUGGACGCGCUGGUAUCAGGAUUUGUUGAAAUGUAGAGCACGCGCUGUUGUCAAGGGUGAAGAUUUUGUAACAGUCUCUGAAUUUACUUUUACUGGGUGUUCUGAUUAGGCUCAAUUUGAGUGCAGUCCCUUCUGAAGAACGGCUGCCACUUUACGAAUUUACCUAGUCUCUAUUUGCUUUUUGUCAAAUAGAUUAGGAUUAGUUGUUUUCGCUGAGUUUUUCCAGCUUUUGCAAAUGGUAGUAGGCCUGAGUAGCCACUAGUUCAUACCGUACAUCUGUACAGUACAUUGAACUUUCUACUUGCCCUGAAGUUCUGAACAAGCUCAGCCAAAUAAACUGCAGCGCUGCACAAAUGCACAGCCCACUGCAUUCAACCCGUUCCCGACUCCCUGGCCACCCAAGUAGCUCACCAAAUGCAACGACAGUGACAUCAGCUACCGGAGAAAAGGAGUUUCUGGCUCGGAUACCUUAUCCGGCGCCCUCCAAUGGGCACACGCCAUGGCCACGCCACCAAAUCCUCCUGCUCUCGGCUCUCCACCACUAACCUCGCAUUCCCGCGCCCCCACCAUAUCUGCCAAGUCAGCACCCCGCUAUAUACCAUUAUACCCAACUCCAUUAACCAAGCAGCACGUUAGAUCAAGGACACCGAGACGAGCCCCAGAGCCCUUCCCCAAGAGCCAGCAGCAGCGAGCCAUGGCCACCUCGACCGCCGCCGUGCUGUCCCCGCCGUCCGUCGCCGGGCUCCGCCUGGCGCCGUCGCCCAGGGCGCGCGUGUCGUUCCGGGCCACGCCGGCGCGGCGGUCCGUGGCGGCGCGGGCGGAGCUGAGCCCGUCGCUGGUGAUCAGCCUCAGCACCGGCGUCUCGCUCUUCCUGGGCCGCUUCGUCUUCUUCAACUUCCAGCGGGAGAACGUGGCGAAGCAGGUCCCCGAGCAGAACGGCAAGACGCACUUCGACGCCGGCGACGAGCGGGCCAAGGAGUACGCCGGCCUGCUCAAGUCCAACGACCCCGUGGGGUUCAACCUCGUCGACGUCCUCGCCUGGGGCUCGCUCGGCCACAUCGUCGCCUACUACAUCCUCGCCACCUCCAGCAACGGAUACGACCCCAACUUCUUCUGAGCGACGGGCGCGUUCGUUCUUGCUGUAAUCUGCUCGGCGUGUUGGUGUUACUGCGUUGUAUCUGAUGCCGGAAAGAUUGGUUAAUUUGGACAAGUAGUGCUACUGCGUGUGUAUAUUGCCGCAUGAAUUUGGUCUUCAUCUAUGUCGAUCUCUGUGUAUUCAGCUACUUUUCGCUUUCGGUUAUGAGUACAUUCUGAUUAUGGCAGCCAGGCAUGACUUGCGAGCAACACGAGCCAUGGGGAAGAGCAAAAGUAGCAUUUCCAUAGUCCAGAAAAACCAAAAGAAUCCAGAUAAAACCAAAAGAGAUUUGCAAUUAAGU